AACUUUUUUAAUUAAAAUGUUGAAUUUUACAUUUUAAUUAAAAGGUUAAAAUGAUUUUAAAAGACGAGAAGACCCUAUAGAGUUUUAUAAUUUAUAUUUAAUGUUUUAAAAAAAUUAAUAGAUAUCUUAUUUUAAUAAAUUAUUUUAUUGGGGUGAUAAUAAAAUUUACUUAACUUUUAUUUUUUUUUACAUUAAUUUAUGGGAAAUUGAUCCAUUACUAAUGAUUAAAAAAUUAAAUUACCUUAGGGAUAACAGCGUAAUUUUUUUUUUAAGUUCAUAUUAAUAAAAAAUUUUG
rnacentral:rRNA from 1 species